ACGAACGCUGGCGGCGUGCUUAACACAUGCAAGACGAACGGAAAGGCCCUGCUUUUGUGGGGUGCUCGAGUGGCGAACGGGUGAGUAACACGUGGGUAACCUGCCCUUGACUUUGGGAUAACUUCAGGAAACUGGGGCUAAUACCGGAUAGGAGCUCCUGCUGCAUGGUGGGGGUUGGAAAGUUUCGGCGGUUGGGGAUGGACUCGCGGCUUAUCAGCUUGUUGGUGGGGUAGUGGCUUACCAAGGCUUUGACGGGUAGCCGGCCUGAGAGGGUGACCGGCCACAUUGGGACUGAGAUACGGCCCAGACUCCUACGGGAGGCAGCAGUGGGGAAUAUUGCACAAUGGGCGGAAGCCUGAUGCAGCAACGCCGCGUGCGGGAUGACGGCCUUCGGGUUGUAAACCGCUUUCGCCUGUGACGAAGCGUGGGUGACGGUAAUGGGUAAAGAAGCACCGGCUAACUACGUG
rnacentral:rRNA from 1 species